rnacentral:rRNA from 1 species
UACGUAGGGUGCGAGCGUUAAUCGGAAUUACUGGGCGUAAAGCGUGCGCAGGCGGUUCGUUAAGUCAGAUGUGAAAGCCCCGAGCUCAACUUGGGAACUGCAUUUGAAACUGGCGGGCUGGAGUGUGGCAGAGGGGGGUGGAAUUCCACGUGUAGCAGUGAAAUGCGUAGAGAUGUGGAGGAACACCGAUGGCGAAGGCAGCCCCCUGGGCCAACACUGACGCUCAGGCACGAAAGCGUGGGGAGCGAACAGG